AAUAUUCCAGAUACCCCCCAUUAAGUUACAAAUGCUUUGCAUGAAUCACUUUACCUGUUUUCCCCACAAUGGGCAGUAUUUGUGCCAAAAAAAUCUUCCCUCUCCUCCAAGGUCCAAGAGUGUAACUGGAGGUGUAAGGGGUAACUUCCCUGAGUUGGAUGUCUGUUCACUAAAUAAACUGUACCAAAAAACAUGGAAAUUAGCUCUUGAAGAGAAUUGUCUGAGAAAUUAUUGCCCAUGUACAUUUCAUACUGAGUAGACUCUCUAGCUGCCAGCCUCUGUGAAUUCAGUCUAGAUAGCUCUUCCCCCCAUUGUUUUUUUUUCCUUUCGUUCACUGUUGUGAGAUCAGGAAGA